rnacentral:rRNA from 1 species
GAGUUUGAUCCUGGCUCAGGACGAACGCUGGCGGCGUGCUUAACACAUGCAAGUCGAGCGAUGAAGCUUCCUUCGGGAAGUGGAUUAGCGGCGGACGGGUGAGUAACACGUGGGUAACCUGCCUCAAAGUGGGGGAUAGCCUUCCGAAAGGAAGAUUAAUACCGCAUAAUAUAAGAGAAUCGCAUGAUUUUUUUAUCAAAGAUUUAUUGCUUUGAGAUGGACCCGCGGCGCAUUAGCUAGUUGGUAAGGUAACGGCUUACCAAGGCAACGAUGCGUAGCCGACCUGAGAGGGUGAUCGGCCACAUUGGAACUGAGACACGGUCCAGACUCCUACGGGAGGCAGCAGUGGGGAAUAUUGCGCAAUGGGGGAAACCCUGACGCAGCAACGCCGCGUGGGUGAUGAAGGUCUUCGGAUUGUAAAGCCCUGUUUUCUAGGACGAUAAUGACGGUACUAGAGGAGGAAGCCACGGCUAACUACGUGCCAGCAGCCGCGGUAAUACGUAGGUGGCGAGCGUUGUCCGGAUUUACUGGGCGUAAAGGGUGCGUAGGCGGAUGUUUAAGUGGGAUGUGAAAUCCCCGGGCUUAACCUGGGGGCUGCAUUCCAAACUGGAUAUCUAGAGUGCAGGAGAGGAAAGCGGAAUUCCUAGUGUAGCGGUGAAAUGCGUAGAGAUUAGGAAGAACACCAGUGGCGAAGGCGGCUUUCUGGACUGUAACUGACGCUGAGGCACGAAAGCGUGGGUAGCAAACAGGAUUAGAUACCCUGGUAGUCCACGCCGUAAACGAUGGAUACUAGGUGUAGGGGGGUAUCAACUCCCCCUGUGCCGCAGUUAACACAAUAAGUAUCCCGCCUGGGGAGUACGGUCGCAAGAUUAAAACUCAAAGGAAUUGACGGGGGCCCGCACAAGCAGCGGAGCAUGUGGUUUAAUUCGAAGCAACGCGAAGAACCUUACCUGGACUUGACAUCCCUUGCAUAGCCUAGAGAUAGGUGAAGCCCUUCGGGGCAAGGAGACAGGUGGUGCAUGGUUGUCGUCAGCUCGUGUCGUGAGAUGUUAGGUUAAGUCCUGCAACGAGCGCAACCCUUGUUAUUAGUUGCUACCAUUAAGUUGAGCACUCUAAUGAGACUGCCUGGGUAACCAGGAGGAAGGUGGGGAUGACGUCAAAUCAUCAUGCCCCUUAUGUCCAGGGCUACACACGUGCUACAAUGGUAGGUACAAUAAGACGCAAGACCGUGAGGUGGAGCAAAACUUAUAAAACCUAUCUCAGUUCGGAUUGUAGGCUGCAACUCGCCUACAUGAAGCUGGAGUUGCUAGUAAUCGCGAAUCAGAAUGUCGCGGUGAAUACGUUCCCGGGCCUUGUACACACCGCCCGUCACACCAUGAGAGCUGGUAACACCCGAAGUCCGUGAGGUAACCGUAAGGAACCAGCGGCCGAAGGUGGGAUUAGUGAUUGGGGUGAAGUCGUAACAAGGUAGCCGUAGGAGAACCUGCGGCUGGAUCACC